UUACGAAAGUAGGCUGACAGGAAACGGGGAAGGAGAGGGGGGAAGACAUGCGGCAAAUGUCGCCGGGUCCGGGAGUCGAACCCCCCUACGCCAUCACGGCACGCCCGUCUUCCUUUCUCUUCCUUUGCUAACAGGGCUAGGCUAGGCUAGUUAGCUUAUGUUAUUAUUUAGUUUUUCUUCUGUUUUAUUCCUAAGUUGUUCGUCACAACCAUGAUGUGUCAAUACCAUAACUGACAAUUUACUAAAUUUUGUUGAAGUUUUGUGAACUAAAUGUUUAAUUUCUGUAAACUGUAAAGAUUUCGUGAACCUGAUGAGCUACAAUAUGGCCUCCUUCAGAAUAACAUGGUAUUGAGGUAGUUUGGCAUUUUGUCGACUCCAUCAGUUUUUAACUGACAUUGUGACUCUUUCAGUUAUAAUGUUGACAAAUCUCACUUAAAUGUGCAGUUAGUUCAUUUUAAUUCAUUUUACAUAAAUGUCAUUACUUCACAUGUAUCAAGUUUUUCUUUUUACUCACUAGUUUGUCAAAACCUUCAGUUCUGUGUUAACUCCGUCAGAUGGACUUUAUGUUGUUUUUUGUUUUAUUUCUUUUGUUUCUUGAGAAACAUUUGUCUGUAAAACUGAGUAAAAAUAUCACUAAUAGGGUCAUUAAAACAUAAUUUUAUAUUUAUUUUUGUCAAAUGGUGUUGACAAAGUUCUGGGUCAGGUCCAUUAAAAAUUUUACUUUUAACACAAUGUUGCA